ensembl:lncRNA
GAAAUUUAUGCCACUGGAACCGAUCUGUCUUCACCUAUAGGCUGCAUCGGGAUCUACUGUAUGUGCCAGCAGUUUAGAUGAUUAUCUUCAAAAUUAUAUAAUAUAGAGAUCUAAAAUCUGCACCAUUCCAGGUCGGUGUUUUGGUCUUUACAACACAUGAGACCUAAUGUUCCUUCCUUCUGCAUAUACACAGAGCGAGUGAGUAACAUCCAGGGCUCAUCUUAGAUCUUAAUCUCACAAGGCUCGCACGAGGACGUUCUCUUUAACCAUCCUACGGUUUUCCUCUCUAAUCAUUUCAGCCUCCCUGUACCACCUCAGAGAAGAGCCAAGUUCAAAGCGCCAUUCAAAAGCCGCUGCUGUAAAAGAGGAGCAGGAAAUCUAAUUAGUAUGUGCGACAAAGAAAUUAAAAUAACCUAAGCUGUAUUCGUGGCACUGAGGUUAUGGACAUCGUCAUGCUGUGGGCUAAAUAUUAAAGCAGGCCUUUUCUGUAUCUGACAGAAGAGUUCUGGCUCAGGUGACGGAAAUCAGGGCCAACUUGUCCAAAAAGGCUGUAUCAUCUUCCAUUUAGUUUAAUGAAGUAUUAUAACCCAGGGCUUAUUAUAUGGAGGAAUAUAAGAGAAAUCUUGGCUUUGGUUGUGUGGUUAUUGGACUAUUAGCUGGUUUCUUACCAGGACACAAUAGGGCUUUUCACUCUUGAAAUAGUUAACCCUGGGUCAUUCUAUACCCCAGGUAAACAGAAUCCUGUGUUUCCUGUUUUGCAAUUUACACUGCUCAUACCUGGGGUUAACAGUUAAUCCUGUGUAUUCAUACACUGUACAUUCAUAAACCUGGGUUGGUGUUCUUAUUUGCAUAUUUGUGGUGUCAGUGUCAUUUUUGAUUGGACGAAUGCGGAAAAUGGCUUCAGCACUGAAGCUGACUUUUCGAUGGACUGAAAAUGUAACUAUAAAACAGGCUCUUCUUCACUUUAUAUUUUCCCCUCAAAUGCUUAUUUUCUGCAAACAAAUUGUUAGCUGCAAGCUGAAACCAAAUACACUGUACUGUGUGCCAUCUUCAUUGAAACAUAAGUACCACAAUUUCCAGUCAGCACUUAGGGAGACUGUAAAAUCUCGGCAACUAUUGGAACAGCCACUCCAACACUUCAGUUACAGACUCUCUAGGAUCUCCUCAAAUGCACAAGCAGUAAUGGGUGAGUUUUCAGAGUUACAAAAAAUGUUGUGAAAUACCAACUAUAAUUAAAAGAUACUAAAAAUACAAAAAAAAAAUAGAAUUAAAAAAAAUGUAAAAUGCAUUGUAUGAAUUUUGGGUUUUGCAUAAAUGUAUGCAUUGUCACAUUUUUCUUAUGAGAUCAGGCUGACAAAAAUGUCAGCAAGCAAGCUGAGGUUAGAAGGGUCUCUGAUAUCACAUGGCCUAAUAGGUGUUUUGAGCAGGUGGCUGGUAAAAGUAUGAUGUUGUUGAUUUCCAUAUUAAAUUUGCAUCCUUUUUCUUCCUUAGACUCAGGCUGGAAGAAAAUAUCAAAAUAAAUGAACAAUGCUGCUACA